GGAUGGACCACCGCAGCUCCUCAGCCUUAAAGCCUCCCCACUAGGCUGGCGAUUUGGAGCUGGAGUGGACUGGCGUGCGGGCUCACCUAUGGCCUGUCGGAGGGGAUCCACGCAGUAGGUGAUCUGGAAGUCAGGCGCGUGCUUGCGGAGCGCCUGGGCCAGCUCUUCGGGGGUGAAGCUCAUGGCGCUGAUGUUGUAGGUUCUCAUGGACAGGCGCUCGGCAGGGGCUUCCAUGACCUCCAGGGUGGCCCUGAGGCAGUCACUGAUGUACAUCAUUGGGAGCCUGGUGCCAGCCUCGAGGUUGCACUCGAAUGUGCCGUUCUUUGCUGCAGCGUGGAAAAUCUGGACGGCGUAGUCUAAAAGAGAAUCCCGGCCCGUGGGUUUUCUCAGCAGGAGGGAGGAGGUUAGCAAGUCCUACUCCCAGCUGGCCAAGACCCCCUAGGUGAAGAAGAAAACGGUGAGACCAGACUGUAAAUCUAUCCUGAGCAUCACAGUGGAAUAUGACUCCUUCUGUCUGAAGGCUGGAACCAGGGGCUAGGAACACAUUUGGAGGAGGACAACUGUAAAAUUCAGGUAAUGAAGAGACAUCUCAACUGAGGACUUACUACAGGCUACUCAUCAAGUACAUGGCAUAGACUCAAUCCCAUCCCCUGAGACCUGGAGGAAGACUCCCACUGUGCCAUUUAUGUCUGAACUUUCUUGGGUGGCCCUUCUAUGCUGCUGUCUCCCCCUCUACAGUGUUAAUAAUUCCUCUGAUAAAUCUCUUACCCCAAAAGAACAAACCCUUUGAAUCCAAACCCAGGACUUUUUUAGAAAGGCUGUGUCUGAUCAGAAAAGGGUUGCCACCCCAGUUUAAAGUUCUUUAUGAUGAUAUGCCUCACUCAGAGACCCUUUCUGCAGUGCAAACAUCAAAUCCAGCUCCAGUGUUCAUCGUAGCCUGCUCUGAUAUAGCACAGCACACUCCCUGUCACCAAGAAGCAGCUCAGAGAAAGCAAGGCUCACCCCACUAACGAGGAGGAGAGAAACCAACCUGUGAUCAAGACCCGAGGAGGCUCAGCUUCCGAGAUCGAGGUGGAGUGGAAGUUGGCAUCGGCUGGGAUCCGGUGCUGGGAGGUGCCUAGAAACUUCAAGGGCAAGACAAGCUUCCGGCAGCUAGAGGCUUUGCUCUGUGCAGUCCCAUUGACCACCUGUUUUAGCAUCCCAAGGAAUAGCAUCUGUUCUUCUGAUACCCUGGGAGCAAGGAAGGGUGGAGCCCAUUACUAACUUUACAUCCCUUUGGUCCCUGGAAACAAGCUACCCCCGGAAAACAUUCUUACCACCAGUUCAGGAGCAACACCUUCUUUUGUGAUUCAGGAAUGCAUCGGACUUAACCACUGACUUCCCCAUAGGAAGCCAGUCAUGUGCCAGCUUUGAGCCAGGGCCAGUAACAAAGGAUAAAAGUUCCCACAAAGCCUAAGCUGGGAGUAUUACUGAAGCCAAGUCAGAUGCAAAUCCAUGGUGGGGGUCAAUAAUGCACAACCAACAAGCACCAAAUAACAAUAACAACAAAUCCAAAAACCAAAAGAAACAACAAACCCAAAACCAGUCACCAGACCUGUCGAGGGCUUGCAAUCUCGACUACAGUUGCUAUCGACCUGUGCACUACACCAUCUGGAGGGGCAGGUCCCAGACUAAAUAGCCAAGCAUUGAUGAUCUGUGCUAACUCUUCAGAUGUUAUGUUUGGAAUGAAGCAGAGUAGGAAAGCAGAUGGCUAAAAGAAAAAGGCCUGGCAAUAUUUAGUAAGCUGUGAACAGCCUUGGUUUGACUCCCACAGCCUUUGAAAGGCUCAUUUUGAAAGCCAUUUUCCAAAUACUUCCAAGACCACAAAUGUGCAAAUACUUGCCCUCCUCCCCUUCCUCUUCCCUUCACUACCAGCUGACAGUGGUACCAUUUCUUGCCUCAAGAAGUUCAUACAAGCAGGACAUGUGUCCAAGCUGUGAACUGAAAGUUCCCAGGAGAAAAAAGGAGGUAGGGGUGGGGCAGAUACAUCUAUGUUACCAACUGCAUAGUUGGAAGAUCACUUAGAACGGGGAAUUGUGGAGAACUGAGACCUUUACAUUCACCUUGGGUUAACAUUGGUCUCUGAAACUGCCACCUGUUGCCAGCCACUGUGUCAGCCUAUUGUGACUUCUCAGGUAAAUCCUUUCAGACUAUAACUUAGCAGACCACCGACUCCCACCAACCCUAAGGCUAAUGCUGUCAUCAGGUCAUAUCUGACACAUGGCAAAGAGAUUUCUCUGCUUUGCUCUAACCCACCACCUGAGGUUCCCGUCAAUGCCUUCAAAAUGUGCCUUGAUUUAGGACAUUUUGUCCUGUACUGAUGAAACUGUUUCCCUCCGAAUAUGAGUGUCUUUGACCCAAGAACACAGGUGGAGGUACCCCUAAAUAGUGUUUCACGGCUAUGGGCAAUAAAAGGUUACCAACUUGAGAAAAUAUUUUAAAACCUUAUGAGUCAUAAGGAGGGGAUUUUUUUUUAAGCAUGAAAAGUUCAGGUGGUUAGAACUCCAGUAGCUGCUGGUGGGGCAGAGGAUGCUCUGCAGAGCAGCUGAGGCCCUGCAUCUCAGCCGGCUCAUAAGGGAGCCUGGAAGACAGCCUCCCAGUCAUGGGCACACCACUGGCUUCACAGUUCCAGAUUAGCACCAGAUAAGAGACUACCAGGGUUGGCCCCAGUACAUGCAAUACAGGGAACAUCUGAGACUUUCUUCAAUCACUCUCAGAGGGAUGCUGUUGGAAAAAUCCUCCCCGCAGCCAAGUCCAGGAAAGAACUCAGAUCUUUUCAGUCACUAAUCAGCAAAUUCAAAAGGAGACAGAGGAAGCCUUUGAACCACUGGAUUCCCCAAGGUGUUGAAAGUCAAGGACAAACUCCAAUCAUUCCCCAAAGCACAAGAAUAACAACUCCCCCACCCACGUUGCUGACCUACCUCAUUAUCCCCCUCAAAGGAGACACAAGGAGGUGCCUGAUGGGUUCUUAGCCAAAGGCCAAAUGUUUUACCCUGGCAACAUGGACGACAAACACCUGUGCUGGCCCUUCUUUAUCCACUACUAGCCAAUAUUGAUCCUCCCUGCAUGCCACAGGCUAGCAGAACUGCCCUGAUCUGCUAGGUUAUAAGUCUGCUGCCCCACUUUCCAGCAGGAGGAUCCAUUAGCUUUAACGUGGAGACACCACCAAGUCAGAGCAACAGAAACUUCUACCCACAGUGCAGCUUUUCCAAGUAAAGACAACUGUCUCACUUCUGCCCAGUCAUCUCAACACAGCCACAUGCUGCACAAAGCCAUCUUGCUCCACAGUAGGCCACACAAUAAUUGCAUAAUAUGAAGAGAUAUGAUAAUCAACUAAGUGAGUGGUGUUAUUUCCUACAGAUGUGUUUCCACUGUUGUGUGAGCAUGACCAGACGCACAGUAGCAGCCCUCAAAAAUUUCAAUUUCAAGUUUUAUUUACACUUUUUUGUUGUUGUUAAAGACAGGACUCACCAUGUGCUCGGGCUAUCCUGGAACUCACAGAGAUCUGCCAACUUCCCAAAUGUGUGUACUACCACACCCAGCCUCCUUUACACUCUUAACGACUAUGGGCUGAAAGUCAGGUAUUGAUCGUGGCACACCAACCUGUAAUCUCAGUACUCCAGAGACAGAAGCAAGCAGAUCUCUGUCAGGGACAGCCUGGUCUACAAGUUUCAGGACAGCCAGAGCUACACAGAGAAACUCUGUCUUGGAAAACAAACAAAAAACUGUGGACUGAAAAGUUUAUGUGAAUAAACCUAUCUAUUUACUGUA